UUUGAAGACCACAGAGGAAAAGCAUAGGUCAAGAUCCGUAGUUUCGACAGAAGCUAACAGAACAACACAGACUUCUGGUAUGGAUCAUCGCUGCAUGGGUCAUGAAGCAAACAAACCACAACCAAUGGCAAACCUACCCUCAACACCGCCCUGCUCCAGAAUCCACUCAAAUACCAGGCCGAUCAGGUAAAUACUACAAGAGAACACAAUCAUACACACGAAUAAAACAUAGCAAGGUGUGUUGGCCAACAUACCGGUGCUCAAGAACGUAUUCCACCCUUUAAAAUCUCAGAGAUUAUUACCAAGUAGUUGCUAUGUGAAAGUGAUACAAUAUAUAUGUAGGACUCAGUAUAGAGUCCAUGCACUAUAUGAUGUCCAGCACCCUAUAUAGAGUCCAUUGGUCCAAAAUCCACUAUACAGAGUCCACGAGUCCACUCAGUUUUGAUCAGCUUCAACCUGCCGCGCAAUCCCCUAUAAGGAGUACACUUUUUCUACCAGUCCCCUAUUCACAGUCCAGGAGUCCAGUUUAUCCAGUCACGCCGUCCUGUGACUGUGUCUUGUGCCCGAAAAAGAACAAACACAUUUUCAGUUUUGCUUGCCUGGUGGCAGCGCAUUCCUUUCUUCACUUCAGCCAUGGCUGCCAGUUCUGCUGUGAAGUUGCUGACAGUAAUCUGUCACGAGGUAACCAAGGAGGAUAAGGAGACGUUCAAAAUCAAAUCUGGAAAGCGUCUUGUGGUUCUCUGAAGACGUUUCAUCAGUGCGCGGGAUGAAAGCAGAAAUUGCAGAACGAGAAAAGUUCAGCACAGUUCAAAUCUGACGAGUCAGGUACACUGACACUCUCUUUCGAUCGACGCCACAAGGAUCCCCUGUUUGGCUGGCCAUUGCUGCCAGUCUGAAGACGUUUGAACGGUUUCAUCAGAGCGAGGGAUGAAAGCAGAAAGCGGAGAAAGAGAAAAGUUCAGCACAGUUCCAAUCUGACGAGUCAGAUACACUGACACUCUCUUUCGUUCGACGCCACAAGGAUACCCUUGUUUGACUGGACAAGAGCUGCCUGUACCACCGUGUCAAAAGGCUGUCCAACUACAUGGCAGGACGAUGACUGAGGUGUGCUGAUUUUCAGAAGCUUGCGGAACUGAGUUCUGCUGAACAUUUGCAUGGCCAUGAGCAAUGGCGAAGCUUGCUAUUGCACUCUCAGCAUGUGCUAGUAUUAUGCCGACUACUGCACUAUGUUAAUCUCUUACACUACUACAUGUAUGUAAACGUGCGUGCAUCCGCCCACGUAUGCAUUCGUUUCGUAUAAUUAUUUGUUAUCCCUCUUGACUUUACUUGUAAAUGCGUGGACGUUUGCAUGGCUGUUGGAGUUGCGCGUGUAUUGUGUCUCUACUCUUUUUUUGGUGUUUUCUUGGCGUUGUACAAGUUUGUGUGUGUGUGUGCGCGCAAUAAUUUGAAAACAAAUAAUUAAUCCCGGGCUCUCCAUUAUUCUCUUUCGAUUCUUGUUUUUUUCUAGGUAUUUUCUUGGCGUUGUGUGGGUGUGUGCAUGUGUGUGUGUGCGUGCACAAUUAUUUGGCAACACUACAUGAUUGAGAUAUUGUAAUUUACAGCGUCUGCGAAGAGACCACUUGA